rnacentral:rRNA from 1 species
GUGGGGAAUAUUGGACAAUGGGCGAAAGCCUGAUCCAGCCAUGCCGCGUGUGUGAAGAAGGUCUUCGGAUUGUAAAGCACUUUAAGUUGGGAGGAAGGGCAGUAAGUUAAUACCUUGCUGUUUUGACGUUACCGACAGAAUAAGCACCGGCUAACUUCGUGCCAGCAGCCGCGGUAAUACGAAGGGUGCAAGCGUUAAUCGGAAUUACUGGGCGUAAAGCGCGCGUAGGUGGUUUUGUAAGUUGGAGGUGAAAUCCCCGGGCUCAACCUGGGAACUGCCUCCAAAACUACUGAGCUAGAGUACGGUAGAGGGUAGUGGAAUUUCCUGUGUAGCGGUGAAAUGCGUAGAUAUAGGAAGGAACACCAGUGGCGAAGGCGACUACCUGGACUGAUACUGACACUGAGGUGCGAAAGCGUGGGGAGCAAACAGGAUUAGAAACCCCAGUAGUCC